CCUGACCCUGAGGCCACACCCUUGCCCUCCACCAUGCAGGUGUCAGCCUCGCUUCUGUGCCUUCACAGCUGCUGCCACCAGCCUCCUGGUGCUGGCUCAGGAAGAUGCAGAACACACUGAAGAGAUCCCUUUUACUUGUUGUUUUUCAUUAAUCCAAAAAGGAUCCCCUUGAAAUAUCUGAGAGACUAUCGGCUCACCAGUGAACUUUGUCCCGUUCCGGCUAUCAUCUUCAAAACCAAGAGAAACAGACAUAUCUGUGCUGACUCCAGUCAGAAAUGGGUCCAGGAUGCCGUGAAUUACCUGAGCAUUUCUUAACGACCUGAGCUCUCCACUCCUGCAGACCAACCUGAGGGUGAGAAGGGACGGCUCAGUUCUGCCCCUGUCUGCCCAUCUGUAAUCUCUUUACCACAAUUUUCAUAUAGAAACUUUCAAACCUAUGUUGCAGAAUGUACUCUGUCUCUCCAGAAAUGUUUACUUUUACUUGAGUUGUGCUACUGUUUUCGAUUUCAUUUUGAG